ensembl:lncRNA
GGAAGGAGCCCCGAGGGCGGCAGCUUUAUGAUUUGCAGCUGAUCAGGAGGUAUCCACCUCUCUGCAUCCAGUGUUUCUGCUGUUUAUCCUACUUUUGCUCUUGCAAUUAAGCUCCUUAUUAAAGCGAUUAAUUCUCCAAACACAAAGCUGCAGCGAGUGAAAACGAUCACCAACCAAAGAACGUUUUGGUGGGGUUGUGCUAAUGGGUCCCAAAGCGCCGCGUCUCAAUCCCGGUCCCCGUGGGCAAGCAUCACUGCAAGACAGCCUUCCCCUGUCUUGGCAGGGCUCGGCGUGGCGCAGGGGUUGGCACAGCUCCCUGGGAACACAGUACAGAGGUUGCCCGGUUGGAUAAGGCAACCCUGGGGCUAAGGGAGGGGGAUGGUGCCCCCCCAGGUAACACCUCACCCCAGGGGAGAGGCGGGGGCUGGUAGGAGCCCUUCAUGCGGCUGCUGAGCGCAGGCCUGGCUGUAACACAGAAAUGAGGGAAUCGCCGCCUCAGGGGGAAAGGCAACAGGAAGGCACUCAUCUUUCAUCAGCCUCUGCUCUCCUACGGCUGUAAUUGACCUCAGCAGACAACACAGAUGAGCGGCACCUCCAGGAAAAAGAAAAACCAUGCCUUGGUGUUAGCUUGGAUACUCCCCAGAGAGUUAAUAGCCAGAGAAAUGGGGUUGCUCUCAUCCAUCCACGGGAGAUUGGUGUCUGCAAAGAUGUAUCUAUUGGACUGCUGGCUGAUAGCAAACACACUUUCUUUCGUCUGUAUUUUUGGGUCAAUGCACACCAACGUGCUCCAGGUCCCCUUUUAUCCUGUAAUGAGUCCAAGAGCCAUUGCUGAUAGGAGAACUCAUUGGAAAGCGACUCCAGAGGGCAGAUCUCCUUCCUCAGCCCUCUCCCAAGCAAACGGGCCUAGACACCCCAGGAAACCUCCUGCCCCACGAGCAGGGGGCCAGAAGCUGGGAAUGCUCAUGCCCUGCACUCUGGGGCUGUGCGGGCUGCUUGCGGAUCCGCUUGUGAAGAUGCUGCAGCAGCGCCUCUUGGCUCCUACUCCUCUCCCAUUAUCUCUUCCCCUUGCCCACAGUUCUUCUUCCCUAUUAUGGAGGGAGGUUUGUGAGCCUUCCAGCUCUGAGCAAUGCUAGCUGGCAAGGCGCAGGCGUGCUAAGCAUGUCCAGAAGAGCAUAGCAUAGAAUCAUUAAGGCUGGAAAAAACCUCUAAGAUCACCCAAUCCAGUCAACAGCUCAUCCCUGCUAUACCCACUAACCAUGUCCCUCAGUGCCACAUCCGCAUGGUUCUUGAACACUUCCAGGUACAGUGACUCCACCACCCCUCUGGGCAGCCUCUGCCAAUGCCUCACCACUCACACUGCUGUUCCCUAAUAUCCAACCUGAACCUCCCCUGACAUAAUUUGAGGCCAUUCUCUCUCAUCCUAUUGCUAGUUUCACAGGAGAAGAGGCUGACCCCCACCUCACCACAAACUCCUUUCAGGCAGCUAUAGAGAGCAAUAAGGUCUCCUCCGAGUUUCCCCUUCUCCAGAUCAUGCAAUCUCAAAUCCCUCAGCCACUCCUCAUAAGACUUGUGUUCCAGAUCCCUCACAGCUUCGUUGCCCUUCUCUGAACGUGCUCCAGGGCCUCAGUGGGUCACACUGAUUCAAUGGACAAGGGAAGAGCCACUGAUGUCAGCUAUCUAGGCUUCAGCAAGGCCUUUGACAUGGUACCCCACAACAUCCUUCUCUCCAAUUUGGAAAUACAUGGAUUUGAUGGGUGGACUGUUCAGUGGACAAAGAACUGGCUGCAGGAUUGAGUCCAGAGAAUGGUGGUCGGUGGCUCAAUAUCUGGAUGGAGAUCGGUGACGAGCGCUGUCCCCCAGGGGUUGGUGCUAGGGCUGAUACUCGUUAAUAUCUUCAUCAGUGACAUCGACAGUGGGGUUGAGUGCACCCUUAGCAAUUUCGGUGAUGACACCAAGCUGUGGGGUGCAGUUGACACACCAGAGGGAGGGGAUCCCAUCCAGAGGGACAGACAGGCUUGACCAGUUGAUCCAGGUGAACCUCACGAGCUUCAGCAAAUUCAAGUGCAAAGUCUUGCACAUGGGUUUGAGGCAUUACCAGUGCCUCCCAUUACCAAUUACAAGCUGGGGGAUGAAAGGAUUGAGUGCGGCCCUGCCAAAAAAGACCUGGGGGUAAUGGUGGAUGGGAAGCUGGAUGUGAGUCAGGAGUGUGCCCCCACAGCCCACAAAGCCAACCGUAUCCUGGACUACAACAGAAGAUGCAUGACCAGCAGGUCAAGGGAGCUGAUCCUGCCCCUUUACUCUGCGCUGGUAAGACUCACCUGGAGUAUUGAGUCCAGAUGUGGAGUCCUCAGUACAGGAGAGAUGUAGACCUGUUGGAGUACAUCCAGAGGAGGGCCACAAAAAUGAUCCAUGGAAUGGAAGACAUCUCCUGCGAGGACAGGCUGAGAGAGUUAAGGCUGUUCAGCCUGGAGAAGGCUGCGAGCUGACCUGGUAGCGGCCUUUCAGUGUCUAAAGGGGAUCUGCAGGAAAGAAGGGGACAGACUCUUUAGCAGGGUCUGUGGAGACAGAACAAGGGGAAAUGGUUUCACGCUCAAAGAGGGUAGAUUUCAGUUAGAUAUAAGUGAGAGCGGUGAGGAACUGGCACAGGUUGUGCAGUAAUGUGGUUGAUGCCCCGUCCCUAGAUGCUUUCAAGGUGAGGCUGGAUAAGGCUCUGGGGAACCUGAUCUAGCUGCGGUGUCUGUUCAUUGCAGGGGAGUUGGACUAGAUGGCCUUCAGAGGUCCCGCCCAACUCCAAGGAUUCUAUGACUCUAUGACAUCUUUCUUGUAGCAAGGGGCCCAAAACUAACACAGUACUUGAGGUGCAGCCUCCCCGGAGCUCAGUACAGGGAGACAAUCACCUACCUGCUCUUGCUGGCUACGUAAUUUCUGAUACAACCCAGGAUGCUAUUGUCCUUCUUGGCCAUCUGGGCAAACUGCUGGCUCAUGUUCAGCUGAGAAUUAGCCAGCACCCUCAGAUCCUUUUCCUCCACACAGCUUUCCAGCCACUCUGCCCCAAGCCCGUAGUCUUGCGUGGGGUUGUUGUGACCAGAGCACAGGACCCUGCACUUGCUUUUGUUAAAGCUCGUGCAGUUGGCCUCAGCCCAUUAAUCCAGCCUGUCCAGUCUCUCUGCAAGGUCUUCCUACCCUCAGGCAGAUCGACACAACUUGGAGUCAUCUGCAGACUUACUGAAGGUGCACUCAAUCCCCUCGCCCAGUUCAUCAUCCCGGCUAGGCCUGAUCCCCUCAUUGUCCAAUGUGUGCUGUGUGAUUACACUCAAGACAAACUGCUCCAUGACCUUCCCUGAUGGAGAAGCAUGGCUUUCCCACAGAGGAAGGGUAGGUUUGUUGUGGAAUGGGGCAGCAAAGGAGCACCAGGGAAACACAAACCUCCUGGGGGAGCCUGGUUGGGCUCCAUCCCUCACCCCCAGGGGUGGGUAUCUCUAAGGUAUGGGCAGAGGUGAAAUCAGUGGCACGUGUGCAUUUCCAGACAGCUAUCCAUAGGCUACAUCCUUUGCUUCCAGGAACUGAAAGGGUGAAAUCAGUUCUGUAUGCCUGGAGCACCCAGAGGAACACACUAUAUUCCAGUCACCGCUUACGUCUUGUUUACAGUUCCAGCCUUGGGAAGCAAGCGGCCUCCUCCUUGAGAAGCUCUCUUCCCUCACAUCCCCACUCAUUAAGCAAGCUGUCGACAGAAGCCUGUAAUGCAGAGCCCAAACACAGCAGCGGGCUUGGGAGACUGCUUUAUUUUUAGCAAGAAAAGCCUCAAAACUACCCUAUAUUUCUCCAGAGAAUGAACUCCAGAACCAUUACUAGCAAAAGCAGCCUUGAAAUAAAACUAUUUUUAAUGAUGGCGCUUAGUGGCACUUUCAAGAGCCCACUGCUGUGACAGCUUUAGCAGAGGAGGGGAGUGCGGAUGGAGGCAGGAGCCCAUGGCCCACAAAGAACAGAGGGGUGUGCAGCACAGCUGGGCUGAGCACAGCUGGAGCACAACGCAGAUGCCUCCACUUGUGGGACACAGCAUUUCCCCUCCAGCUUUGCGUCAUGCACUGAGCUCUCAGAUUCCUAAGUGGGUUGCAGCGUGCAGUCCUUUGUGCUCAGUAACUCACUCAUUAUAGGCCAAUUUCCACUUAUAAAUUCAUUUAUAAGCCAGUCCGUUUGUGCAGACUGCCUUGCUGGAGGCAGAGCUCUGCCAUCCUCCAUCCCUUUCUCUCCCUCCUCUGCUGGAGCCCCCAGCGAGGCCAGGAUGCUCUCCAUCGCUUGCUGAACGGCUUCGGGCAAGGGUGACCACGACCCCAGGGAAGGGAAUAUUGGGGAAGCGGGGCUGCUCCCUGCAGCCGUAUCCCCGCAGCCCCAGCAGAUGGUGCCAGAAGGCUGGGAACCCUCCGGGAGCCGCAGCCAGCACAGCCACCCCUUUUGUAGUCAUAGGAUCAUUUAAGGAUGGAAAAGACCUCUGAGAUCACCAGUCCAACCACCGACCCCUCUCCACUACGCCCACUGCCCACGUCCCUCAGCGCCACAUCCACACGGUUCUUGAACACCUCCAGGGACAGUGACUGCACCACCUCCCUGGGCAGCCUGUGCCACUGCCUCACCGCUAUUCUGGGAUGACAUUUGUUCCUGAUAUUCAACCUGAACCUCCCCUAGUACAACACGAGGCCAUUCUCUCUCAUCCUAUCCCGUCCAGCAGCACAUUGCUCCCUACACCAAGCUUGCCAGAGUGAUGCUUGCCCCACAGCGAACAGAGCAACAGAGGUCCCCCUCUUCUUUCUCUCUUGACUGACUGUUCUGGGCGAUUUAUCUCACUCCUCAGUCUGAAAUUUUCCUUUGCACCAUUUCAUCCUAUUAUUCCAGAAUAAAUCAGGAUCAUUUCCAUGUCGAAUUUCAGCAGAGGAGCACCACAGGAGGGAAGUUUCAAAGCUGACGGCAGCUCAGCCAGCAAGACGACCUCCACUGCACCCACGGGCAGGGCCAGUGCUCCCUUUGCGCCACCAAGUAUAGGGCAGCAGCCUCUCACCCCUGGGGCAGUGAGGGCAGGGUGCUCAGGACCAGCUGCAUGAAGAUGUGCUUCCUCUGACAGCUUUUCUCAAGCACACAUAGGAGUUGAGGUGAGCAUUGCACAGCUGCUGCACUGCAGGGCUGGGCAAACAACUCUAUGUUUGAGCAAACCUUGUUUGUAUUCCGUGUCAGCCUCGUCCUCUGCAAGAGCUGAAGGCUUCUCACAUCCCUCAGACAUCAAAGGACACCGCUCGGGCUGUGGGAGCGUAGCCCAUAUCCCUCAAAGAGCCAGAGUAAUCACAUCUAACUGCACACUGCCUUGACAUUCAGGUUGUCCCAGGCAGAAGCCAAGGGCAUGUUCGAGGAGAGUAGGGAGACACAUUCAGGAACCAAACCCAAAGGCCAGCUUAUAAACUGGUGUCGAACUGGGACACACUCAUCAGCUUCAACUGGAGGACAUAAGCCAGAGGCUGUCCUAUGAGAAGCGUGUGACUGUAAGGAGAUGGAAAGAUGAAAAAG